AAGUGACUACAAGUAAGAUAAGAAUGACGGAUACACAAGAGAAGUCAUCCAAUCUGCCAAAGGGGAAAGAAAUUGCUUGUUUGACAAGUAUGAUUGUGAAGACUUAAGUAUCAUUGAUAAUAAUCAUAACAACGAGGAAAAUACAGAGGGUUCCGGCUUUCCGUCCUUAGUUACUAUGCGGCAACAACGUGCAUGGGGACAAGUUAGACAAAAUUUUGCUGAUAUGAUGGAAAAGAUGCAGCAGACAUGGCGAUUAGGAGACAAAGGUGUCGUCUUCUAGACUAACUAUGCGGAGGUGGUGAAUUUGUUUAAGGAGAAUCAAAGUACUUGGCCAUGAGAGAUUUUUUUUUUUUUUUUUUUUUUCGGAUUUGAAAUAUUUUAGUAGAUGUUUUGUAAUUUUUAAUCUGGUGAAACAAUGUCGUGAUCAAGUCGUAGGGGGCAUCAGUUAGCUACUAAAUGAAUGGAUCUGUAAUCAACUUCUAACUUCCCGACCCUCCUCCUCGUAGUUUUCCAAUGAAUUUUCUUUCCUAUGUUAAAAAAAAAAUUAUAGCUUUGUUGA